AGUGAACGCUGGCGGCAGGCCUAACACAUGCAAGUCGAGCGGCAGCGGGUCCUUCGGGAUGCCGGCGAGCGGCGGACGGGUGAGGAAUGCGUCGGAAUCUGCCUUUUUGUGGGGGAUAACGUAGGGAAACUUACGCUAAUACCGCAUACGACCUACGGGUGAAAGUGGGGGACCGCAAGGCCUCACUCAGAAAGAUGAGCCGACGUCGGAUUAGCUAGUUGGCGGGGUAAAGGCCCACCAAGGCGACGAUCCGUAGCUGGUCUGAGAGGAUGAUCAGCCACACUGGAACUGAGACACGGUCCAGACUCCUACGGGAGGCAGCAGUGGGGAAUAUUGGACAAUGGGCGCAAGCCUGAUCCAGCCAUGCCGCGUGUGUGAAGAAGGCCUUCGGGUUGUAAAGCACUUUUGUCCGGAAAGAAAUCCUGUCGGCUAAUACCCGGCGGGGAUGACGGUACCGGAAGAAUAAGCACCGGCUAACUUCGUG
rnacentral:rRNA from 1 species